AACUUCUCAGAGAAAAGCGCACCAUCUCAAAACAAAUUUGCAGAAUGUACCACCACAGAUUUGCUAGGAGGCACAGAUCAUGCUGAUCUGACUGGGCAUGCUGUAUUUCUGUACCUGGAAGUCUGUAGAUCCCUGCUGGCCUCAACUUGUGCACAUGUGGCCUGCAGCCUAUCAAGAUGUACUCUGAGUUACUUCAGUUUGCUGUUUGGUGUCGAGACAGAGUUUCUGUGUACUCAGAAAGUAAUGGCAGCUUUGGAAGCAGAUGAAAGAAGGAAUGAGGAGGUUGUGGAUGGUGUUUGA
ensembl:lncRNA